rnacentral:tRNA from 1 species
GGUAAAAUGGCUGAGUAAAGCAUUAGACUGUAAAUCUAAGCACAGAGGUAAUGCCUCUUUUUGCCA